rnacentral:rRNA from 1 species
UACGUAGGUGGCAAGCGUUGUCCGGAAUUAUUGGGCGUAAAGCGCGCGCAGGCGGCUUCUUAAGUCUGAUGUGAAAGCCCACGGCUCAACCGUGGAGGGUCAUUGGAAACUGGGGAGCUUGAGUACAGAAGAGGAGAGUGGAAUUCCAUGUGUAGCGGUGAAAUGCGUAGAUAUAUGGAGGAACACCAGUGGCGAAGGCGACUUUCUGGACUGUAACUGACGCUGAGGCACGAGAGCGUGGGGAGCAAACAGG